rnacentral:rRNA from 1 species
CAUGCCGCGUGAAGGAUGAAGGCCUGUGGGUUGUAAUCUCCUUUUCUCCGGAAGAAGUUCUGACGGUAUCUGAGGAAUAAGCAUCGGCUAACUCCGUGCCAGCAGCCGCGGUAAUACGGAGGAUGCAAGCGUUAUCCGGAAUCAUUGGGCGUAAAGCGUCUGUAGGUGGCUUGGUAAGUCUACUGUUAAAUCGUAGAGCUCAACUCUAUCUCGGCAGUCGAAACUACUUCGCUUGAGUGUGGUAGGGGCAGAGGGAAUUCCCGGUGUAGCGGUGAAAUGCGUAGAUAUCGGGAAGAACACCAACGGCGAAAGCACUCUGCUGGGCCAACACUGACACUGANAGACGAAAGCUAGGGUAGCCAAUGGGAUUAGAUACCCCAGUAGUCCUAGCCGUAAACGAUGGAUACUAAGUGGUGUGCGUAUUGACCCGUACACUGCUGUAGCUAACGCGUUAAGUAUCCCGCCUGGGAAGUAUGCUCGCAAGGGUGAAACUCAAAGGAAUUGACG